UACGUAGGCGGAAUAUUAAGUCAGAGGUGAAAUCCUGCAGCUCAACUGUAGAAUUGCCUUUGAUACUGGUUAUCUUGAGUCAUUAUGAAGUGGUUAGAAUGUGUAGUGUAGCGGUGAAAUGCAUAGAUAUUACACAGAAUACCGAUUGCGAAGGCAGAUCACUAAUAAUGUACUGACACUGAGGGACGAAAGCGUGGGGAGCGAACAGGAUUAGAUACCCUGGUAGUCC
rnacentral:rRNA from 1 species